rnacentral:rRNA from 1 species
CCCCUAGAUGUUCUGGGCCGCACGCGCGCUACACUGAACAGUUCAACAAGUCUUAACCUUGGCCGAUAGGUCUGGGUAAUCUUUGAACGCUGUUCGUGAUUGGGAUAGACCUUUGCAAUUAUGGGUCUUCAACGAGGAAUUCCUAGUAAACGCAGUUCAUCAGACUGCAUUGAUUACGUCCCUGCCCUUUGUACACACCGCCCGUCGCACCUACCGAUUGAAUGGUCCGGUGAGAAUUUUGGAUUGAUGUUUCGUCGGGUUAACGCCAGACUUUACGUUGAGAAGUUAUUCAAACCUUACCAUUUAGAGGAAGGUGAAGUCGUAACA